CUUCAAACUUAGAUCCCUUUGCUAUUUUCUUGUAAGGAGGAGGCAAGAAACCAAGGAAUUCAUUCUUCUCCCUCCUGGUUAGCCAGUUAUCCAAAUCUCAUUUAUGGACGAAGCCCUUUCCACAUGUCUUAUUGGUUGAACUUGUCCUUCCAAAAGAGGCGUUGAUGUGACCUUAUAGGGAAGUAGAGUCCUUGAAGAUGAAAUUAGUUAAGAUGAGGUCAUAUUGGACAGAGUGGGCCGCUUGAUCCAGUGUAUCCGGUGUCUUUAGAGGAAGAUGAAAAGACAAAAACAUAGGGGGAAGACGGCCGUAAGGAGAGGGAAGCAGAGAUUGGAGUGGAAGGAUGGAGCCACAAACCCAGGAGCCCUGGGCGGCCAGAGGCUGGUGAAGGGUCCUCUGACUGCGAGAGUGGACGAUCGACGCUGGACACCAGGUGGCACUGGUCGUUCGAGUUCCAAAGCCCAGAAGUACUGGUGUCUCCAUGAGAGGCUGAGCUUGGAAUUCACCAGCAGCUUCACUUGAAUGGCCUGAGGUGAUUCCUGUGGGUGCCCCCCACCCCGAGGUGGCUGCUGGUCAGAGGCUCAUCCUGCCCUUCCGGGUGAUUCAUCCUGGGCUGGGCUGUCCCUCCGGAACUUGCUGACCCUGGUUAUUUGAGACGGUGGCCACCAGCCUUGUCCUGCUCAUCCGAGACCGGGCGGCGAUGCUGGAAGUGGACGCUGUGUGGAUGCUGCCCAAGCUGCCGUCAGGGCUCUGUAGGAGAACCUGGGUCACGUGACCCAUUUCUCCGUGGGAAGGAAGCUGACCUUGGCCGGGGCGAGCUAAGAGCUCUGAUCGCUGUGGAAUGUGCCUCCCUCCCCCUCUACUAAUGGGGUCGGACCUUAAUGGUGACACCAACUCAUAGGGCUCUUCCAACCGUCCUCGCCACGCUGGUGGUCUCCAUCCAAGGUUAAGGCAGCCCAGAGGAUGCUGUGCGCAGGACCUGCCUGAAGGUUCUCUAGCUCUGGUGGACAAGACGGGAACCCAAGCCUCCUCAUCCCUCCCCAAAUGCCUUCUUCCUAUGGUGAGCUGCCUAAAAGAUUGUCAGCUCAGCUCUUCCAGGAAUUACCUGGACCUAGGGCCCUAGAGACCAGGUUACCACCGUAUCCUGCAGCGAGAAAGGUGCCCCACAGGACUCGUAGGUUAAAGCCCUCACUUCUGAUGUCACUGUAUUUGAAGUAAAGAACGAAUUAGGGUGAAAUGAGCUCAUAAGGAUAGAGCCCUGGGGUUCCCACGGUGGCUUAGUGCCAACGAACCCGACCAGUAUCCAUGAGGAUUCGGGUUAGAUCCCUGAAUCAGUGGGUUAAGGAUCUGGAGUUGCCAUAAGCUGUGGUGUAGCUUACAGAUGUGGCUGGGUCCAACCCCACAUUGCUGUGGCUGUGGCGUAGGCUGGCAGGUGCAGCUCCAAUUCGACCUCACUGGGGACCAAAUGGGCCCACACCUUGGUCUUGGAUGUCCAGCCUCCAGGGCCGUGAGACGUGAAAUAUAUGUUGGUCAAGCCGCCCGCUGAUGGCAUUUUGUUCCGGCAGCCAGAGCAGACGAAGAUGCCACAUGCCAAGAUCAGGAAACCCCAGUGCUGCAUGUGAGAAAUAAGCAGGGGUUUCACAGAGGCACGAAACCUCCAUCUGUAAGGACACAGCUGAGACAGGGGCUCAGGGUGGUGACUGAUACAUUGGAGAGGGUUAGGGUGCAGGUGCCAGCGCCCCACCCACUGCGGUCUCCUCAAUUACAGGCAGUGUCGGGCUGGAUGGGUUUCAUCCGCGAAGAUCAGGAGCCAGAGGGUCGGCUCAGUCUAUCGCUGCAUCUCGUUUUCUCCCGCAGGCAGCAGUAGUGUUUGGGACAAUGGGAGAGGAUAGAGUGACCGCCGGAGAAUUCAGGGCAGGAGCUCAGCAUUCACUCCCAGCCUGGCGAGGCGCCUUCUAACUCCCCCUCGGGCGUAGGGUCCAGGGGAGCAGACACUUUUCCCUGCCAGCAGAGCAGAAAGAGAGAAACACGAGGAAGAGGUCUCCUCCACACCCACGGUUGGCACCUCCACCCAGAUCCCUGGCGUCUCGUGGUGCCAGGCAGGCUCCUGGCCUCAGAAGCCAGGGAAACAGACAAAGAUCACUUGGGGGCGGGACGAUCCUCGGGAGUCUUUGCUGUCGGGUUCAGAAAGUCCAGUUCAGAACAGGUGUCCUGAUUGCCUCGAGGCAUUAGUGUUGCUUCCUAGAGAAAUUCACUUGCUUGGCUAUGUAUCUGGGUAGGUAUCGAUCUUUCUGGAAUACUUAGGGAAGGCCAGCUUUGGCCCCAGAGUCUCUUCUUGCUUCCUCGCAGCUGCUGGGAGGCAACCUCUGAGCUCUUCAGAGGCAUCCGUGGACCGUCCUGAGCCCUCGUGGUCAGGUCCAGCCCAAGGGAGACCAGCUCCUUCACCGCUUGCUCGCCAAGGGCUCUUCUCAAUUUCCUGGGGAGGGGCAGGACCCCACUCCCUUGAUCACAAGCAGGAACACCAAUAACACGAGACUACUGGGACCCCUUUUUCUCAAUCUUCGCUGAUGAUUCUGAAUCUCACCGCGGAAAAUACAUUUUCCUGCUGUUUCUGGACAUUUCUCACCUGUCAGAAGAGGUGCCUUAUUUCAUAUAGAAAAUCUCUCGGAAAUAGGUCCCCUUUGAAAAUAUUUUUUGUUUUGGGAUCCAGGAGGGC